GUAUACUUCGUAUUGCAACAGAUGUGAAAGCUACGCCCUUUAAAGGCUGACCGCUUAGGAACAUUGUCAGAAGGUUCACACUCCAAGAGAAUGUAUCCAAAGACUUCAGAAGAUCUCCAUUAUGACUGCCUAAGGGCUACACAGGCUUACCGACUUCGACAACUUAAAGGUCAUGGUUGUGUGCAGCCUAUGCAGUCAGCUGCCCAAGGAGACAUCCACAAUUCACCAAAAGAGUUAGAUGUGAGUUGUCAUGGAAAUGACGAGGUCAAACAGAAGUAAGAAAAGUUAAUGGAAGUCAUUCGAAAAGGCGAAUACGUACUGACUAAACCAAGGUUGGUUCAUGCUUAUCUAGAACUUCAUACAUGCAAUGGUGGAUUAUUCACUGCAUAUGAAGCAAUCCAGGUUAUGGACCAGUCAACCUGCAAAAAGAACGAAGCUUUUGGACCAUUCUGCAAUGGAUCUCAAGUUACCCGAUGAUGUGCAAGGCAAGGAAACUGUAUGAAUCUGCCAUUUAUCUUGAACCUGAAAUUCUAAGAGCUGAACUGGCAAGGGGUGAUAUGCGUUUUGGUGAAUCCUGGAAUAAUCAAGAAAUUUUUCUACUUGAAAGAUAUUAGAGGCAAUAGGCAGAUGAUUCUCCACUCAUCAAGUUAGGUCACCUAUUUGCAGUAACAAAUCUGCUGUCCCAAUAUCAAUCUGCACUAAGUGCAGGUUAAGGAAUAACUGAAGACAAGAAUGCUGGCAUGAGCAACGGUAUUAUUUUUUCUCGCUUUAUUCAAAUGCUUGUUUACCUGAGAUCGUGCACAAAUUUAUUUGGUCACAUUCUAGCUCCCAUAUGUUUAGAUUAUUAUUUUGUCCCACCAGAGCCAUACGCAACAAAAACUGAACCAUCAUUUGUGCAAUCUGAAUAUUUAGUGAGCGUUGUUAAUUAUGUAUCCAUCUAGUCAGAAGCUCUUGAAAGCCAGUCACUCUUUUUGUAUCCUUCAAUUGCUACCCUCUGACACUCGUCAUCACAAUUCAUGCAUUGCAAUCUCGCAUAAGCCACUUGUACCAUUCUGACGCCGGUGUAUCCAUUCUCUUUGUAUAAGUCACUUCAUUCAUUUGUGCAUCAGUGUCAGCCUAUUAUAUAGGGUUUGCACACUUGUUAUUUUCCGAUAAAACUCAGUGGGAGAGUUCAUUUUAUGGUGUCCAGUCCCUUGGAAACAGAGUCAUCCAAUAGUUUAAAGCUCUUGAAAGCCAAUCAUUUCUUUUGUAUCAUUCCAUUGACUCCUUGGAUCAAUCCAUUGGUCUAUCCAUUAGACUAUUACGUAGAUUUUGCAUAUUGUUCCUCUUUGAUAUAUUCAUGAGGAUAUAUCAUUGAUGGCACUCAUCAUGCAUCGAAUUACUCCUAGCAGUCAUUUGUAAAUGGAGCCUGCCAUAUGUCGGCAACUCUAAAUAUAUACUAAACAGAAAAGAAAAAAAGAAACAAUGCUGGCAUCUAGAGGAAAAAGAGAAAGAAAAAAGAAAAAGAAAGAAAGAAAAAAAGAGAAGUGUGCUGCCAACCAAGAACCAAAAGAAAACCAAAAGAGAGUGUGCCGGCAAUUAUGUUUUAAGAGGCUCUUAUAUUUCAUUUAGUGGGAGGACUUACACAUACUUUACUUUUGCAAUCAUCAGCUGAUGCCUACUCUUCAUGUUGUAUCCAUGUCAUCAAUAGUUUCUCGACAUCAAUUGUUCCACUCAGAUCAUUCUUUUCCUCUUGACAUCUUUUCCAUCAUUCUUCCUGUGACUGGAAUCAUGAGGUUUCACUUUACUGGUUUCGGAUACUUAUUUAACUUUGCAAUAACUGAAAUUCAGAUUUGCUUACUCCAUUUACCCCACCAAACCACAGAUAAGACUCCA